rnacentral:rRNA from 1 species
ACGGAAGGCAGCAGUGGGGGAUCUUGCACAAUGGGGGAAACCCUGAUGUAGCAAUGCCGCGUGAGGGAAGAAGGUCUUCGGAUUGUAAACCUAAGUAGUCAGGGAUGAAGAAAGUGACAUUACCUGAAGAGUAAGCUCCGGCUAACUACGUGCCAGCAGCCGCGGUAAUACGUAGGGAGCGAGCGUUGUCCGGAUUUACUGGGUGUAAAGGGUGCGUAGGCGGGCUUGCAAGUCAGGCGUGAAAUACCGGGGCUUAACUCCGGGGCUGCGCUUGAAACUGUAAGUCUUGAGCGAAGUAGAGGCAGGCGGAAUUCCCAGUGUAGCGGUGAAAUGCGUAGAUAUUGGGAGGAACACCAGUGGCGAAGGCGGCCUGCUGGGCUGUAACUGACGCUGAGGCACGAAAGUAUGGGGAGCAAACAGGAUUAGAUACCCUGGUA